CGCCCCCCUACGGGAGGCAGCAGUGGGGAAUAUUGCACAAUGGGCGAAAGCCUGAUGCAGCAACGCCGCGUGAGGGACGAAGGCCUUCGGGUUGUAAACCUCUUUAAGCAGGGAAGAAGCGAAAGUGACGGUACCUGCAGAAAAAGCACCGGCGAAUUACGUGCCAGCAGCCGCGGUAUUCCGUAGGGGGCUAGGGUUGUCGGGAAUUCCUGGG
rnacentral:rRNA from 1 species